ACUCCUACGGGAGGCAGCAGUGAGGAAUAUUGGUCAAUGGAGGGAACUCUGAACCAGCCAUCCCGCGUGUAGGAAGACGGGCCUUAUGGGAUUGUAAACUACUUUUAUACAGGAAGAAACGUACCCUCGUGAGGGUGCCUGACGGUACUGUAGGAAUAAGCACCGGCUAACUCCGUGCCAGCAGCCGCGGUAAUACGGAGGGUGCGAGCGUUAUCCGG
rnacentral:rRNA from 1 species